rnacentral:rRNA from 1 species
ACGGAAGGCAGCAGUGGGGAAUAUUGCACAAUGGGCGAAAGCCUGAUGCAGCGACGCCGCGUGAGCGAAGAAGUAUUUCGGUAUGUAAAGCUCUAUCAGCAGGGAAGAAAAUGACGGUACUUGACUAAGAAGCUCCGGCUAAAUACGUGCCAGCAGCCGCGGUAAUACGUAUGGAGCAAGCGUUAUCCGGAUUUACUGGGUGUAAAGGGAGCGUAGACGGCAAAGCAAGUCUGAAGUGAAAUGCGGGGGCUUAACCCCUGAACUGCUUUGGAAACUGUUUAGCUAGAGUGCAGGAGAGGUAAGCGGAAUUCCUAGUGUAGCGGUGAAAUGCGUAGAUAUUAGGAGGAACACCAGUGGCGAAGGCGGCUUACUGGACUGUAACUGACGUUGAGGCUCGAAAGCGUGGGGAGCAAACAGGAUUAGAUACCCUGGUA